AAAGGAAGAUUAAUACAAGAUGGCAUCAUGAGUCCGCAUGUUCACAUGAUUAAAGGUAUUCCGGUAGACGAUGGGGAUGCGUUCCAUUAGAUAGUAGGCGGGGUAACGGCCCACCUAGUCUUCGAUGGAUAGGGGUUCUGAGAGGAAGGUCCCCCACAUUGGAACUGAGACACGGUCCAAACUCCUACGGGAGGCAGCAGUGAGGAAUAUUGGUCAAUGGGCGAGAGCCUGAACCAGCCAAGUAGCGUGAAGGAUGACUGCCCUAUGGGUUGUAAACUUCUUUUAUAAAGGAAUAAAGUCGGGUAUGGAUACCCGUUUGCAUGUACUUUAUGAAUAAGGAUCGGCUAACUCCGUGCCAGCAGCCGCGGUAAUACGGAGGAUCCGAGCGUUAUCCGGAUUUAUUGGGUUUAAAGGGAGCGUAGAUGGAUGUUUAAGUCAGUUGUGAAAGUUUGCGGCUCAACCGUAAAAUUGCAGUUGAUACUGGAUAUCUUGAGUGCAGUUGAGGCAGGCGGAAUUCGUGGUGUAGCGGUGAAAUGCUUAGAUAUCACGAAGAACUCCGAUUGCGAAGGCAGCCUGCUAAGCUGCAACUGACAUUGAGGCUCGAAAGUGUGGGUAUCAAACAGGAUUAGAUACCCUGGUAGUCCACACGGUAAACGAUGAAUACUCGCUGUUUGCGAUAUACUGCAAGCGGCCAAGCGAAAGCGUUAAGUAUUCCACCUGGGGAGUACGCCGGCAACGGUGAAACUCAAAGGAAUUGACGGGGGCCCGCACAAGCGGAGGAACAUGUGGUUUAAUUCGAUGAUACGCGAGGAACCUUACCCGGGCUUAAAUUGCAGAUGAAUUACGGUGAAAGCCGUAAGCCGCAAGGCAUCUGUGAAGGUGCUGCAUGGUUGUCGUCAGCUCGUGCCGUGAGGUGUCGGCUUAAGUGCCAUAACGAGCGCAACCCUUGUUGUCAGUUACUAACAGGUUCCGCUGAGGACUCUGACAAGACUGCCAUCGUAAGAUGUGAGGAAGGUGGGGAUGACGUCAAAUCAGCACGGCCCUUACGUCCGGGGCUACACACGUGUUACAAUGGGGGGUACAGAGGGCCGCUACCACGCGAGUGGAUGCCAAUCCCCAAAACCUCUCUCAGUUCGGACUGGAGUCUGCAACCCGACUCCACGAAGCUGGAUUCGCUAGUAAUCGCGCAUCAGCCACGGCGCGGUGAAUACGUUCCCGGGCCUUGUACACACCGCC
rnacentral:rRNA from 1 species